rnacentral:rRNA from 1 species
CCCUAUUAUAUUUAAAUAAACUUAGGUAAUUUCAAAAUUCAGAAAAACCUAUUUAUAUUGGCGGCAUCUUAUCUAAUUAAAGGAACUUGUUUUAUAAUCGAUAACNUCACGUUUAUUUUAACUUAAAUUAAAUAAUUUAUAUACCGCCAUCUAAAGAAUUAAUUUAUUAAAUUAUUCCUAAUAAAUAAUUUCCUAAAAAGUUAGGUCAAGGUGUAAUUAAUAUUUAAGUAAUUAAUGAGUUACAAUAAAUACCACUUAAGAAUUAUUUUUUCAUAAAUUAAUAUGAAAAAGGAUUUAAUUGUAAUAUUAUAAUAACAAUUAAAUAUGAAUAAGAAAACAAAUGUGUACACA